rnacentral:lncRNA from 1 species
UUAUCUGCCUUGACUCCUUGGGUGUGUUCUUUCCUUUCUCCCACUCUUAUUUUAUAUUUAUGGUAUUUCAUUGAGGACAAUGUAUGUUUUAAGUGUGGGGGAGGGAAUCAUUUAUUUGUUUUGUUUUGUUUAUUUUUUUUCAGUUUUUCUCUGUUUUUGGUUUUUAGUUGCUAAAAAAAUGCAUCUUCUUGAAAGUUUUAGGCUAUAGACUGACUAAUUUGAGAUUAGUUUGCGGAGACUUGGGAAAAAUUCACAAGAUCGGUAUCGUCUUAAAAAAUGCAUCUUCUUGAAAGUUUUAGGCUAUAGACUGACUAAUUUGAGAUUAGUUUGCGGAGACUUGGGAAAAAUUCACAAGAUCGGUAUCGUCUUAACACCGUAA